CCCCUGGGGCACUCUGUCCCAUGCCGAUACGUGGUGGCAGCGCCACUUCCACCACUGGCGGUUGCCAGAUAUCCAACUGGAAAUAAUUCACAAACAAAACUGUGC
rnacentral:lncRNA from 1 species